rnacentral:rRNA from 1 species
GUAGGGAAUAUUAGUAAUGGGCGAAAGCCUGAACUAGCAACACCGCGUGUGCGAUGAAGGCCUUCGGGUUGUAAAGCACUUUUCGAGAGGAAGAGGAAGGACGGUACUCUCGGAAUAAGUCUCGGCUAACUACGUGCCAGCAGCCGCGGUAAAACGUAGGAGGCGAACGUUAUCCGGAUUUACUGGGCGUAAAGCGCGUGUAGGUGGUUUGGUAAGUAGGGCGUGAAAGCUCCUGGCUCAACUAGGAGAGGUCGUUCUAAACUGCCAGACUUGAGGAUGGUAGAGGGAGGUGGAAUUCCGGGUGUAGUAGUGAAAUGCGCAGAUAUUCGGAGGAACACCAGUGGCGAAAGCGGCCUCCUGGACCACACCUGACACUCAGACGCGAAAGCUAGGGUAGCAAACGGGAUUAGAAACCCUAGUAGUCC